rnacentral:tRNA from 1 species
GCGAGCGUGGCGGAAUGGCAGACGCGCUAGGUUCAGGACCUAGUGUCCGCAAGGACGUGGAGGUUCAACUCCUCUCGCUCGCACCA